rnacentral:tRNA from 1 species
GGGGUUGUGGCUCAGUGGUAGAGUGUUCACCUAGCAUGUGUGAGGCACUGGGUUUGAUUCUCAGCACCACA